rnacentral:rRNA from 1 species
UACACUCCUGCGGGAGGCGGCAGUGGGGAAUAUUGGACAAUGGGCGCAAGCCUGAUCCAGCCAUGCCGCGUGAGUGAUGAAGGCCCUAGGGUUGUAAAGCUCUUUCACCGGUGAAGAUAAUGACGGUAACCGGAGAAGAAGCCCCGGCUAACUUCGUGCCAGCAGCCGCGGUAAUACGAAGGGGGCUAGCGUUGUUCGGAUUUACUGGGCGUAAAGCGCACGUAGGCGGACUAUUAAGUCAGGGGUGAAAUCCCGGGGCUCAACCCCGGAACUGCCUUUGAUACUGGUAGUCUUGAGUUCGAGAGAGGUGAGUGGAAUUCCGAGUGUAGAGGUGAAAUUCGUAGAUAUUCGGAGGAACACCAGUGGCGAAGGCGGCUCACUGGCUCGAUACUGACGCUGAGGUGCGAAAGCGUGGGGAGCAAACAGGAUUAGAAACCCUAGUAGUCCCAUGA